CACGUAGGCGGCUUUCUAAGUCGGGGGUGAAAUCCUGGAGCUCAACUCCAGAACUGCCUUCGAUACUGGAAAGCUCGAGUCCGGGAGAGGUGAGUGGAACUGCGAGUGUAGAGGUGAAAUUCGUAGAUAUUCGCAAGAACACCAGUGGCGAAGGCGGCUCAUUGGCCCGGUACUGACGCUGAGGUGCGAAAGCGUGGGAGCAAACA
rnacentral:rRNA from 1 species